rnacentral:rRNA from 1 species
AUCAACGGUUGAGGCGUGCCUCAGACAUGCAAGUCGAACGCGAAAGCCCCUUCGGGGAGCAAGUAGAGUGGCGCACGGGUGAGUAACACGUAGGUAAUCUACCUUCGGAUGGGGAAUAACAACCGGAAACGGUUGCUAAUACCGCAUAAUGCAGCGGCACCUAAUGGUGACAGUUGUUAAAGCGGGGGAUCGUAAGACCUCGCGUCUGAAGAGGAGCCUGCGGCAGAUUAGCUAGUUGGUAAGGUAACGGCCCACCAAGGCGACGACGGGUAGCCGGCCUGAGAGGGUGAACGGCCACACUGGGACUGAGACACGGCCCAGACUCCUACGGGAGGCAGCAGUAGGGAAUCUUGCGCAAUGGGCGAAAGCCUGACGCAGCGACGCCGCAUGCGGGACGAAGGCCCUCGGGUUGUAAACCGCUUUCAGCAGGGACGAAGCGAAAGUGACGGUACCUGCAGAAGAAGGUCCGGCCAACUACGUGCCAGCAGCCGCGGUAAUACGUAGGGACCGAGCGUUGUCCGGAUUCAUUGGGCGUAAAGAGCCCGUAGGCGGCCACUCAAGUCGAAUGUGAAACCUCGAGGCUUAACCUCGAGCCUGCAUUUGAUACUGGGCGGCUAGAGUCUGGUAGGGGGAUCUGGAAUUCCUGGUGUAGCGGUGGAAUGCGCAGAUAUCAGGAGGAACACCGGUGGCGAAGGCGGGAUCCUGGGCCAGUACUGACGCUGAGGAGCGAAAGCGUGGGGAGCAAACAGGAUUAGAUACCCUGGUAGUCCACGCCGUAAACGAUGGGCGCUAGGUGUGGGAGGUCAUCGACUCCUUCCGUGCCGCAGCUAACGCAUUAAGCGCCCCGCCUGGGGAGUACGGCCGCAAGGCUAAAACUCAAAGGAAUUGACGGGGGCCCGCACAAGCGGCGGAGCAUGUUGCUUAAUUCGACGCGACGCGAAGAACCUUACCAGGGCUUGACAUGUAGGGAAAAUCCGUGGAGACACGGUGUCCGCAAGGGCCCUACACAGGUGUUGCAUGGCUGUCGUCAGCUCGUGUCGUGAGGUGUUGGGUUAAGUCCCGCAACGAGCGCAACCCUUGUCCUAUGUUGCCAGCGGUUCAAGCCGGGGACUCAUAGGAGACUGCCGGGGUCAACUCGGAGGAAGGUGGGGACGACGUCAAGUCAUCAUGGCCCUUAUGUCCUGGGCUGCAAACAUGCUACAAUGGCCGGUACAGAGGGCUGCAAACCCGCGAGGGGGAGCCAAUCCCAAAAAGCCGGUCUCAGUUCGGAUCGGGGUCUGCAACUCGACCCCGUGAAGUCGGAGUCGCUAGUA